rnacentral:tRNA from 1 species
GGGCGUGUGGUUCAGCGGUAGAACGCUUCUCUGAUAAAGAAGAGGUCGAAGGUUCAACUCCUUCCACGCCCA